rnacentral:rRNA from 1 species
AGCAGCCGCGGUAAUUCCAGCUCCAAUAGCGUAUAUUAAAGUUGUUGCAGUUAAAAAGCUCGUAGUUGAAUUUCGGGGUCAGUAGAUUGGUCGUGCCACUGGUAUGUACUGGUCUCACUGGCUCCUCCUUCCUGAUGAACCGUAAUGCCAUUAAUUUGGUGUUGCGGGGAGACUGGACUGUUACUUUGAAAAAUUAGAGUGUUUAAAGCAGGCUAACGCUUGAAUACAUUAGCAUGGAAUAAUGAAAUAGGACGUUCGAUCUUAUUUUGUUGGUUUCUAAGAUUGACGUAAUGAUUAAUAGGGAUAGUUGGGGGCAUUAGUAUUCAAUUGUCAGAGGUGAAAUUCUUGGAUUUAUUGAAGACUAACUACUGUCGAAAGCAUUUGCCUAAGGAUGUUUUCAUUAAUCUAAGAACGAAAGUUAGGGGAUCGAAGCGAUCAGAUACCGUCGUAGUCUUAACCAUAAACUAUGCCGACUAGGGAUCGGAUUGAUUGUUAAUUUUUAUGACUNAUUCGGCGUACC